rnacentral:rRNA from 1 species
CGCACAACCUGGGGACUACAGUGAACCCAAAAACUCCGUGGGACUUAGGAGCUCCCCGGUUAGAAGGGUCGGCUGGAGAAAUUUCCCUCGCUGCGUAUAACGCGGGUGAAAAAAGGCCCCUCAGGAAAAUUAAGGGGAAAGGAGACCAACCCAAGUUGGCCGGAAAAAGCGGACACCCACCCCUGUGGGACACCUGAAAAACCCGUGAGACAACCUUGGAAAGAGUGUCCCGAAAAAAGGCCGGUCGGGGGGGAGACCCCAAACCCACAGGAAUCUUUAAGGAGAAUUAAACCCCCUCGGUUAAGUCCAAAGCGCCGUUUUAACCGGAAAUGUUCGUGAAUAUAAGAGCCCCGUUGGGGUGAACCCCCUUGAAGGAAUUCUCUAAGAUGGGGCGCCAAACUUUAAACCGCCGGAUUUAAGGUUCUGACCCCGCGCCAUGGGGGGAAGGUUACCGGCGCGAGCCAAAAGGGUUUAAAACCCCAAAAUGGAAAUGGACCGGGGGGCCCCGCCAACAAGCGGGUGGAAGCAAGUUGGCUUUAAAUUCCGAAACACCGCGAAGGAACCCCUACCCUGGGCCCCGUGACCAAGCUUGAGAAACCUUUCCAGAGAUCGGAAUUUGGGCACCUUUCGGGAAACUCAGAACACAGGUGGCCUCGCAUGGCCGUCCGCUCAGCUUCGUGUCGUGAGAUGUUUGGGUUAAGUCCCGUAACGAGCGCAACCCUUGUCCUUAAGUUACCCAGCACCUCGGGUGGGCACUCUAAGGAGACUGCCGGUGACAAAACCGGAGGAAGGUGGGGAUGACCGUCAAGUCAUCAUUGGCCCCUUACGGCCAGGGCUACACACGUGCUACAAUGGUCGGUACAAAGGGUUCCAAGCCGCGAGGUGGAGCUA